UAUGAAUUCACGAGAGAAAGGGAAGGAAUGGAAGAUGGAAAUAUCCGCACUUUUUGUGUGUUUUUGGUGUAUUGUGCAACAUGAAUUUAUUUUAUUUUCGGCAUCAUUGCUGUUUUCUUUC
rnacentral:ribozyme from 1 species